rnacentral:misc_RNA from 1 species
GAUGAAGAACGUAGCGAAAUGCGAUACUUGGUGUGAAUUGCAGAAUCCCGUGAACCAUCGAGUUUUUGAACGCAAGUUGCGCCCGAAGCCUUUUGGCCGAGGGCACGUCUGCCUGGGCGUCACGCAUCGCGUCGCCCCCCACAACUCUCCGUAAAGGGAACUUGUGUUUUGGGGGCGGAUAUUGGUCUCCCGUGCUCAUGGCGUGGUUGGCCGAAAUAGGAGUCCCUCCGGUGGACGCACGAACUAGUGGUGGUCGUAAAAACCCUCGUCUUUUGUUUCGUGCCGUUAGUCGCGAGGGAAACUCUUUAAAAACCCAAAUGUGUCGUCUCUUGACGGCGCUUCGACCGCGACCCCAGGUCAGGCGGGACUACCCGCUGAGUUUAAGCAUAUCAAUAAGCGGAGGA